rnacentral:rRNA from 1 species
UAACACCAGCGCCACAAGUGGUGAUCGCUUUUAUUGGGUCUAAAGCGUCUGUAGCCGAUUUAGUAAGUCCUUUGUGAAACUGCGGGGCUUAACCUUGCAACGUGCAAAGGAAACUACUGAGUUAGGGACCGGGAGAGGUUGAGAGAACUCCUUGGGAAGCGGUAAAAUGUUUUAAUCCUUGGAGGACUACCUAUGGCGAAGGCACUCAACCAGAACGGAUCUGACGGUGAGAGACGAAAGCUAGGGGAGCGAACAGGAUUAGAUACCCUAGUAGUCCUAGCUGUAAACGCUGCCAACUAUGUGUGGCAUGUUCUUCGAGGACAUGCCGUGCCGGAGCGAAGGCGUUAAGUUGGCCACCUGGGAAGUACGGCCGCAAGACUG